rnacentral:lncRNA from 10 species
CCCAGGUUGAAGAUUUGGCCAGAGGCGAGCAGUUAAAGUGUCACUUAACAUUCUGGAGAAUGUGAAAUAUACUGCGCGGUGUCAACUCCCCAAAACCAUAAAACUAACUUUAUGGACCUCACGUGACUUUCUCGAGCCAGUGAGGGGUAUCUGUCUGACUUCUCGGCGAUUUUUACGAUCUAACUUCGAGAUAAAACCCCUAUCCAUUUGACAUCUAAAUGUCAUAGCGACUUUUGGGAUAGUUUGCUAUCGACAAAGGGAGACAAAGUCAAGGGGUGAAGGGAAAGGAGGGCCAAGUAGAGCCUCCACGACCCUCGGCUUCCUCCUCACCAGCUCCCCCUCCCUCCAAGUCCAGUAAGAAGUUGGGCCAAGCUGGAAGGGAUUGACCGGCCGUUUCCUCUCCCUCGCCGGCCUCGGCGGAGAUUCCAGGCCCUAUAGAAACCAGGACGUCCCUUAGCGCCACCGCCUCACAUGCCAGUGCUGCCGGGAACCCAGCGAUAUCCGCACCAGCGGAGAAGGUUCCAGGCUGCCGGCGGCGGCGCAGAGAGCGGGAAGAGAGGCUCGGAGGAAGCCCCGGGCGUGGCGUGGUCAGGCUCCGAGAGCGGCCGGGAUGCGGCCACACCGGCCUGGUAAACUCGCACCUCUUAGGAUCUUGCUCCCGGACUCAUUCCCUUCCCCACCCCCUAUUUUAAAGUUUUAUUUGGGUCGUCUGUAUCAAUUUAGAACGAGAUAAAUUAAGACAAAGAAAGUAAAAUAAAUCGAAAUAAAAUAUAGGAAUAGCUCUUGGCGAAAAUGUUUGCCGUGCGAGCAGGAAGCCGUGAGCGCCCUAGUUGGAGGCUGCUCUGCGCCGACUAAGAGGCCUCUACUCCCAGGCCUGGCCUCUACGCAACGCCACCCAAGAAGCCAGAGUGAAUUUGGGUGUUCAUUUUCCCUUUCCUUCCGCUCUUCCUUCAUGUGGGGCCUAGCAGCUUGGAUUUCAGCUCCGUCUUUGUGCCUGGGCUGCAGCCCAGAUCCAGAUCCCGCAGCUUGGUUUCCAGGCCUGAAUGAGGACGCGGGUUUGUGAAACUGUGAGGUUUUUGUUUUGUUGUUUUGUGAGCUUGUGUGACUAAGCAUGUGGGCUUCUGAGUGCGUUUACUUGGGGGCAAAUGUGAAUCUGUGUUUAUAAGCCAAUGUGUGAAUGUACGUUGGUAUCAAUGUGUCUGUGAGUGUGAAUGUGUGUUUACUUGUGAGCGUGUGUGAACAUGAAUGCCUA